UGAAAACCAAUGAAAACUAUCGAAACUUCCUCAGUGUGCUGCAGACGGCGCUGCAGUCAGAAAUCUUCGAAUCUUACACACUGACACUGGUUUCAGUUCUCAUCUGCGCUUGGUCUCUCUGGCUUUCACUAAGCAGUAUGAUUAAUAAUGAUUUACAGGAAGUAGUUCAAAAAUUAUCAUUUUAUUAGUAUAACGAAUAUAAUUAUUUAAAAUAUAUCCAAAGUAAUAUUAAAAUGUCUACUGUUCCAAAUUCGACGAAGGAUGGGGCACAAAGUAAAUUACAAGAUGUACAAACAAUGCAUUGUAUGGGACGUACGCAAGGUGAUGGCAUGGAAAAUAUGAUGACGGAAAAAAUUGAGAACAAACAGACAAAAUACCGCCUCGGAGACACACUUAUUUAUCAUCCAACUAAUUUGAAACAAUUAAGUUCAACUUCUCCAGUCACUCCAAAUGGUCCAAUAGUAAAUUUAGUACCAAAACAUGUUACUAGUGUAAAAGAUGAAAAACGUCUUUUAAAUUCAUUAAAGUCAAAGGAACCAAAAUUUGUUCCAUAUGAACCAUAUAAAGCAGCAGUUAACCCAAUCAUUCCAUAUAACAAAAAAGGUAAAAAAUUACAGAAAACCAAUUUAGAUAUGACUGCCUCUCGAGUUGCUGCAAUGAAAAUUCAUGAAAUGAAAGUGCCACCAAAUGAUACUACUAAUACAGGUGAAGGUAUCAGUAUGGAGAUUGAGUGGUUACAAGAAAAGAAAUCAUAUGAUGCAGAAAUACAAAAGCUCAAAGAAGAAAACAGUCAACUUGAAAAUCAAUUGAAAUUUCAAGCACAGGUUAAUGGUGAAUUGAAGAAUUUAUUAGUAGCUGCUGUAGGAGAAGAUCUUGAAACGAAAGUUCAUUUGUUAACUGAAGAUAAAUUACAACUUGCUCGAGCACUUUUAAAUUCAGUUCAACACCUUUCAACGCAUCAGGAACAAACUGAAUGGUUGGCUGGUCAGUGUGAAGUUUGGAGAAGUAAAUUUUUAGCUAGUAGCUUAAUGGUUGAAGAACUUGCAAAAUGGAAAGCAGCUCUUUGUCAAAGGACAACAGAUCUUCAAGAAGCAAUAAAAAGGCUCUUAGAGGAUCGUAAUCACGUUCGUGACAUGUCCCUUAAAACAUAUAGAACUCUUAGUAUUCUUCGUGAAAACUUUGAUCCUGUUGGAGCUGCCUCUUGUAAAAGACAUGAAAUACCAAGUACAAAUAUUAUAGAUUUAGCACAAGGCUGCUGUCAACUCGCAGAAAUUCUGAAAGUUCAACUUUUAAGUGGUGUAGACAAUAUUAAUUUACAACGUGAAAUCAAUAUAACUGGUCUAGAUAUGAAAACUCUUGCUGAAAAGACUGCUGAGAAAGUACUCAUGAGUCCAAAAUUGCUCAUGUCUGGAAGACAAGAUAUAGCUUGUAGCGCAGUGAUGGGAGCAGCUGUAGCAAUUGGAGGCCAAAUAUUUCUUCCACGAUGUGAUUCAAAUAGUUUAAUGUAUAACUCAACGGAUCGCGAGAAUUCACGUUCAGUCCAGGCUGGGAGCUCGUAGGUGUAACAUGUUGGUUUUUACCAGCGCUGUUUUUAGACGAACGCAAACGUUUGAAGGGAAGUAAUCUUGGGUAUUUUUACGCUCGCGUACCUACCAUCAGUCUUUCUUGGUAUUCCGUCUUUGAACCUUCGAAAAAGCUGUUGUUACAAAGAAUCGAAAACGUUUAAAGGAAGUGCGCGCACAAAAACGCAAAACUUUUCUCUCUACCCCAGCGUGAUUUUUCUCUAAAUCAGAACUCCAGGAUUCAAAGAAUCGUUUGACACCGCGUGUUCUAUUUUGGAAAAACAGUAAAUACUUCAAAUACCAUGCCACGUGAUCCUCUAAAUCGAAAGUGCGUCUGCAACGGAUCGUUUAACAAUAUCCAUUGUGAUCGCCAAUUUGGUUUAAGUGAGCGCAAGUUUUAUUAACGAUAACUGAACAAGUUUAAACGUUCACAGGGAUAUAAUUGUUUCAGUAAAUGGUUAAAUAUUGAUAUCGAAUGUAAAAUGAAUUAUGAUCGUUGAAGUGGUAAUUUCCAUGUAACGUGUACGCUAAGUUUAAAUUUCCGAGAAGGAGAAAAUUUCUGUUAAGUCGGCGAGAAUGCGAAGACACUAGACGGAGUUAUUUAUGUGAUCUAUUUUCACGCAAGUUGUGUUACCUUACUGGCCUAAAAAUAUCUGUGAAAUUUGAUUAGGGACAACUUGAUGCUUCGGUAUUAUCUAUUUGAAUAUUUAUACUGGUUCCGAGUGUGAUCGAAUAAGUUGAAAAGUUUUCGAGGUUACUCUUCUUUGAUCGCAUUGUACGCAGUACAAUUGGAGUAACAUUGAAUUUGUUGUUGCAUUUUCUGUAUUGCUUUGUUAAACGAAGCAAAUUUUUGCCUAUGAUAAUUUUAUAUAUUUAUGAAUUGUACGAAUUCUGUAAACUGAUUCACAGUGACGGUGAAACUGUUAACAAUUAAUGCAUUGAUUAUAAGUUAAUAUUCUUAUUAUUACUUACGAAGAUUUAAUAGUAGGUUGAGAGAUAUAAUGACAAUAAUUCGGAAAUGAUUUCAUUUAAUCGUAUAAUCAAUAACAUUUCGGUAGGUAAAUAUAGAUUUAAAAUUGUUUUUUGGCAGUUACAGGAAUAUUUUCAUCGCGUAAUCGAAUAUGGAUGAUUAACGAUAAAUACUCGAAGUACGUAUUAAUACGUUUGAAAUUACGAGAAUUAACCCUUUUACCCUCGAAUUAUUUUGGGUUGAACUUGUGUAAACUUAUUUAUGAGGAAUAUGUAGGGUUUAAAUGUUUGAAAUAUAAUCCAAAAUUGAAUUCCGAAGAUAUCUCAAUGAAACAAAAAUCAAUUUGUCUAUUUGUUUUUGUAUAAAUUACAAAAUUAGUUUUUAAGUUUUAAAAUAACAUCUGAUUUUGCAUAUAUCCAAACUGGAUGUAACGAAUAGAGACAAAUAAAUGAGAUAACAAAUAAUGAAAUUCAGUUUCAAAAUAACAAAGAUAAUACGUAAGAUAAUACUUAAAUAUAAUACUCUGAUUACUGUAACUUAAGGGACUAUUAUCGAAAGCGCAAAAGAAAAAAAUUUUUUAUUUUAUAUAACAAACAAUUGUGGAAUGUCAAUGUUACAUAUAAUAAUAGACAUGUUAAUUUAAUAAAUUAGAAUUUGUGUUGUUUAUUUUGAAUAAUUUUGUUCAUUGUUAUAGCCACAUAAAAAACCAAACAAAUUAUUAAAAUAUAAUUUUGUCGGCAUCGUACAAACCAGAGAAACAAAAUGACGGACGUUUGAUUUUUCAACACUAUUUUUGAACCUUGAUUAUUUAAAAAUAUGGUUAAAUAUUAAUGAAUGAGUAUAAUUCUAGUUGCAACGAUAGCUAUAAACAAAACUAUAUUUAAAUAAUUUUUUUAAUUUUUUAGUUUCAAUGUCAAGUUAUCGUGUAGAAUGUGGAAAAAGAGGACAAAUUUCAUGUUGCUGUUAUCAACGAAACAAAUCAUUAAACAUAAACCAAAAAAAUUGUGUUCAUUAAUUUAACAUAACUACUAUUAUUAUUAAAAACAUUGACAACCACAAUUUUUUGUUAUUUAAAAUAAAAAUUUUUAAAAGAAAUUUUUUCUUUCGUGCGUACGAUAAUAAUUAAUUCUCUUUAAUGAAUAUCGAAUUCAAUUUCGCUAAUGACUACAGAAAAUAGUAAUAAUAAUAUAAUAUAAUAUAACUGUUAUUAAGUAUCGAU